GGAAGGUUGCCCGAGAGGUAAGGGGUCCCGUUGCUAACGGGAAGCCGGGCUCUUCGUCGAGCCCGCGGGCGUUCGAUCCGCUCACCUUCCGCCA
rnacentral:tRNA from 1 species